rnacentral:tRNA from 1 species
GGGGUUGUAGCUCAGUUUGGUUAGAGCGUCCGCCUGUCACGCGGAAGGUCGCGGGUUCGAGUCCCGUCAACCCCGCCA